GGCGGAUGUAACCAAGUGGAUCAAGGUAGUGGAUUGUGAAU
rnacentral:tRNA from 1 species